UUGACGGGGGAGCACUACAACGGGUGGAGCCUGCGGUUUAAUUGGACUCAACGCCGGAAAACUCACCGGGGGCGACAGCAAUAUGUAGGUCAAGCUAAAGACUUUACCAGAAUCGCUGAGAGGAGGUGCAUGGCCGUCGUCAGUUCGUACUGUGAAGCAUCCUGUUAAGUCAGGCAACGAGCGAGACCCGUGCCCACUGUUGCCAGCAUGUCCUUCGGGAUGAUGGGUACUCUGUGGGGACCGCCGAUGCUAAAUCGGAGGAAGGUGCGGGCUACGGUAGGUCAGUAUGCCCCGAAUCUCCCGGGCUACACGCGGGCUACAAUGACUGGGACAAUGGGCUCCUACCCCGAAAGGGGAUGGUAAUCUCAUAAACCCAGCCUUAGUUCGGAUCGAGGGCUGUAACCCGCCCUCGUGAAGCUGGAAUCCGUAGUAAUCGCGUUUCAACAUAGCGCGGUGAAUACGUCCCUGCUCCUU
rnacentral:rRNA from 1 species